UACGGAGGAUGCGAGCGUUAUCCGGAUUUAUUGGGUUUAAAGGGAGCGUAGGCGGGUUGUUAAGUCAGUUGUGAAAGUUUGCGGCUCAACCGUAAAAUUGCAGUUGAUACUGGCAUCCUUGAGUACAGUAGAGGUAGGCGGAAUUCGUGGUGUAGCGGUGAAUGCUUAGAUAUCAACGAAGAACUCCGAUUGCGAAGGCAGCCUGCUGGACUGUAACUGACGCUGGAUGC
rnacentral:rRNA from 1 species